rnacentral:rRNA from 1 species
UUUGAUCCUGGCUCAGGAUGAACGCUGGCAGUGUGCCUUAGACAUGCAGGUCGAACGAACAGGUCGAAGCUUGCUUCGUGAUGUUAGUGGCAAACGGGUGAGUAACACGUAGGUUAUCUGCCUCUAAGUGGAGCAUAACUUUGGGAAACUGAAGCUAAUUCUCUAUGUGCUCUUAGGAGUAAAGAUUUAUCGCUUAGAGAUGAGCCUGCGGUCCAUCAGCUAGUUGGUGAGGUAAAGGCCCACCAAGGCUACGACGGAUAGCCGGCCUGAGAGGGCGAUCGGCCACAGGGGCACUGAGACACGGGUCCCACUCCUACGGGAGGCAGCAGUUAGGAAUCUUCCGCAAUGGGCGAAAGCCUGACGGAGCGACACUGCGUGAAGGAUAAGGCCUUAGGGUUGUAAACUUCUGAACGAGGGACGAAUAAUGACGGUACCUCGGUAAUAGCACCGGCUAACUCCGUGCCAGCAGCCGCGGUAAUA